rnacentral:rRNA from 2 species
UCCGAAUGGGGAAACCCACUGCUUCGGCAGUAUCCUGCAGUGAAUUCAUAGCUGCUGGAAGCGAACCCGGUGAACUGAAAUAUCUAAGUAACCGGAGGAAAAGAAAUCAACCGAGAUUCCCUAAGUAGUGACGAGCGAACGGGGAACAGCCCUUAAGCUGGAAUGGCUUUAGAAAAACAAUCUGGAAAGAUUGGCCAUAGAAGGUGAUAGCCCUGUACUUAAAAGGGCCACUCCAGUGAAGACGAGUAGGGCGGGGCACGUGAAACCCUGUCUGAAUAUGGGGGGACCAUCCUCCAAGGCUAAAUACUCCUGACCGACCGAUAGUGAACCAGUACCGUGAGGGAAAGGCGAAAAGAACCCCGGAGAGGGGAGUGAAAUAGAUCCUGAAACCGUGUGCGUACAAGCAGUAGGAGCUCGCAAGAGUGACUGCGUACCUUUUGUAUAAUGGGUCAGCGACUUACUGUUCGUGGCAAGCUUAACCGUAUAGGGGAGGCGAAGGGAAACCGAGUCUGAUAAGGGCGCAUAGUCGCGGGCAGUAGACCCGAAACCGGGUGAUCUAGUCAUGGCCAGGGUGAAGGUGCCGUAACAGGUACUGGAGGCCCGAACCCACGUCUGUUGCAAAAGACGGGGAUGAGCUGUGAUUAGGAGUGAAAAGCUAAUCGAACCCGGAGAUAGCUGGUUCUCCUCGAAAGCUAUUUAGGUAGCGCCUCGGACGAAUACUACUGGGGGUAGAGCACUGUUAUGGCUAGGGGGUCAUCGCGACUUACCAAACCAUUGCAAACUCCGAAUACCAGUACGUACUAUCCGGGAGACACACGGCGGGUGCUAACGUCCGUCGUGAAAAGGGAAACAACCCAGACCCACAGCUAAGGUCCCAAAUUCACUGCUAAGUGGAAAACGAUGUGGAAAGGCAUAGACAGCCAGGAGGUUGGCUUAGAAGCAGCCACCCUUUAAAGAAAGCGUAAUAGCUCACUGGUCGAGUCGGUCUGCGCGGAAGAUUUAACGGGGCUAAGCAGUGAACCGAAGCUUGGGGUGCGUAAAACUUCGGUUUUAUGCGCGGUAGAGGAGCGUUCCGUAAGCCUGCGAAGGUGGAUUGAGAAGUCCGCUGGAGGUAUCGGAAGUGCGAAUGCUGACAUGAGUAACGAUAAUGCGGGUGAAAAGCCCGCACGCCGAAAGCCCAAGGUUUCCUUGCGCAACGUUAAUCGACGCAGGGUUAGUCGGUCCCUAAGGCGAGGGCGAAAGCCGUAGUCGAUGGGAAGCAGGUUAAUAUUCCUGCACCUCGCGUGAGUGCGAUGGAGGGACGGAGAAGGUUAGGUGUACCGGGCGUUGGUUGUCCCGGGGAAAGGCGGUAGGUUUGGAUCUUUGGCAAAUCCGGGAUCCUUUAAGACCGAGCACCGAGACGAGCCUUUAUGGCGAAGUCACUGAUACCACGCUUCCAGGAAAAGCUCCUAAGCUUCAGCUCACGAAGACCGUACCGUAAACCGACACAGGUGGGUAGGAUGAGAAUUCUCAGGCGCUUGAGAGAACUCGGGUGAAGGAACUAGGCAACAUGGCACCGUAACUUCGGGAGAAGGUGCACCCUUUUUGGUGGCUCAUGCGAGCUAUAGCUGAAGAGGGUCGCAGAAACCAGGCCGCUGCGACUGUUUAUCAAAAACACAGCACUCUGCAAACACGAAAGUGGACGUAUAGGGUGUGACGCCUGCCCGGUGCUGGAAGGUUAAUUGAUGGGGUCAGCCGCAAGGCAAAGCUCUUGAUCGAAGCCCCAGUAAACGGCGGCCGUAACUAUAACGGUCCUAAGGUAGCGAAAUUCCUUGUCGGGUAAGUUCCGACCUGCACGAAUGGCGUAACGACAGCGGCGCUGUCUCCACCCGAGACUCAGUGAAAUUGAAAUCGCUGUGAAGAUGCAGCGUUCCCGUGGCAAGACGGAAAGACCCCGUGAACCUUUACUAUAGCUUUACACUGAACGUUGAGUUCGUCUGUGUAGGAUAGGUGGGAGGCUAUGAAACUGUGGCGCUAGCUGCAGUGGAGCCAUCCUUGAAAUACCACCCUGUCGUGCUUGACGUUCUAACCUAGAUCCGUUAUCCGGAUCAGGGACCGUGUAUGGUGGGUAGUUUGACUGGGGCGGUCUCCUCCUAAAGAGUAACGGAGGAGCACGAAGGUACGCUCAGCGCGGUCGGACAUCGCGCACUGUGUGCAAAGGCAUAAGCGUGCUUGACUGCAAGAUCGACGGAUCAAGCAGGUACGAAAGUAGGUCUUAGUGAUCCGGUGGUUCUGUAUGGAAGGGCCAUCGCUCAACGGAUAAAAGGUACUCCGGGGAUAACAGGCUGAUACCGCCCAAGAGUUCAUAUCGACGGCGGUGUUUGGCACCUCGAUGUCGGCUCAUCACAUCCUGGGGCUGUAGUCGGUCCCAAGGGUAUGGCUGUUCGCCAUUUAAAGUGGUACGCGAGCUGGGUUCAGAACGUCGUGAGACAGUUCGGUCCCUAUCUGCCAUGGGCGUUGGAAGUUUGAGAGGGGCUGCUCCUAGUACGAGAGGACCGGAGUGGACGAACCUCUGGUGUUCCGGUUGUCACGCCAGUGGCAUUGCCGGGUAGCUAUGUUCGGAAGCGAUAACCGCUGAAAGCAUCUAAGCGGGAAGCGCGCCUCAAGAUGAGACUUCCCGGGGCACAAGCCCCCUAAAGGAACCAUAUAGACUAUGUGGUUGAUAGGUCAGGUGUGU